GGAGGAAGGUGGGGACGACGUCAAGUCAUCAUGGCCCUUACGGCCAGGGCUACACACGUGCUACAAUGGUGCAUACAGACGGUUGCCAAGCCGCGAGGUGGAGCUAAUCUGAGAAAGUGCAUCGUAGUCCGGAUUGGAGUCUGCAACUCGACUCCAUGAAGUCGGAAUCGCUAGUAAUCGUGAAUCAGAAUGUCACGGUGAAUACGUUCCCGGGCCUUGUACACACCGCCCGU
rnacentral:rRNA from 1 species